rnacentral:rRNA from 1 species
CCUACGGGUGGCAGCAGUGAGGAAUAUUGGUCAAUGGACGAGAGUCUGAACCAGCCAAGUAGCGUGAAGGAUGACUGCCCUAUGGGUUGUAAACUUCUUUUAUAUGGGAAUAAAAUGUUCCACGUGUGGGAUUUUGUAUGUACCAUAUGAAUAAGGAUCGGCUAACUCCGGGCCAGCAGCCGCGGUAAUACGGAGGAUCCGAGCGUUAUCCGGAUUUAUUGGGUUUAAAGGGAGCGUAGGUGGAUUGUUAAGUCAGUUGUGAAAGUUUGCGGCUCAACCGUAAAAUGGCAGUUGAAACUGGCAGUCUUGAGUACAGUAGAGGUGGGCGGAAUUCGUGGUGUAGCGGUGAAAUGCUUAGAUAUCACGAAGAACUCCGAUUGCGAAGGCAGUUCACUGGACUGCAACUGACACUGAGGCUCGAAAGUGUGGGUAUCAAACAGGAUUAGAUACCCGAGUAGUC